rnacentral:tRNA from 1 species
AGGGCUAUAGCUCAGUUGGUAGAGCACCUCACCGAGAAGGUCUACGGUUCGAACCCGUAUAGCCCUA